AACUUAAAUACCACAAUUUAUUUUCAAAGUAACAUAAUUUGAGCCUCCUUUUGAGAGGAAUGAAAUGGUUGCUUUGAUUUUUUUUGUCAUAAAUUAAAUUUAAAAUGAGUUGCACAAAUUGGAGGCCUUUUUUAAAAAAAUAUUUUUAUUACUGUACUUAUUAGGUACCAAUUAGAUUGGGUGAAUAACAUUAAGGACUGAACUGAAGGUUUAAUAAGAUUAUCAAUAAUAUAAUCACACAUUUUUUUACAUUUUUUAUAAUAACUGUAUUAUUGUUAUUGAUAUUAUGUUUAUUACUAUUAUGUAUGUCUAUUAUGUUGCUUUUGGUAUUAACAGAUUAUAUCAGUUACUUACAUGGUUACAGGCUGAAUAAUCAAGCUUCGCCAGUGUGCAGUUUUGUUGUGUUACU